ACCCCAAGCAUAGCCCGUUCCAUUGCACCUUGUGGACCAGUUAUAUCUAUAUAUAUAAUGUAUGUUCGGGGACAACUUCGUCGUUUAUGAACCGAUUUGGAUAAUUCUUUUUUUGUUGGAAAGGAGAUAUCCCAAGUGAUCUGAUGGUGGAAUCCCAGAGAAAUCUAACGAAACCCCCGAAAAUCAUAGUGACGACUAAUGCGUUUGUUAAUUUGUUUCGCCUAUUUACGUUGCAUUACUUGUCGAUGUAAUUGAAGCCGGUUUUUUUCGUUUGCGAGCACACAGAAUUAUACUAUAAGUUUUGAUUUUUUCUCCUGUAAAUUAUUUCUUGCUUCUCUACACUAAGUAGCUUAAGAACUACUUACUGUAUGUUAUGGAAAUAGUUUUUAUAUUUGGUCAGCAUAUUAAUAUAAAAAAAAUUACAAGUAAUAAAGCUUAUGGUUAUUUGUGUUAACGUACCAAAAUAAGAAAA
rnacentral:misc_RNA from 1 species